UUCAGAAGAGCCCACAUGAACUCUAAGAAGAAGACGGAUGUGGGAGAGAUGGUUGAGGUUCUGUGGAAAACCACAAUUUCAUGGUUCUAGAUGAAGUGAUCGGUGAUUGCUGGCGAUAGCUAAGCAUGCGAUCCUUAAUCUGGCGGUAGAUGAGGGGGAGGAGGGAAUCCGUUGACCGGAAGUGACGGUUAUGCAGGCGAUUAUUCCUCUCUUGCCAUAGCCAAUAUAUCGAAGCUUGCCAACAGAGGAAGUCCCCCAAUGGUAUAAGUGAGCAGCGCCUUGCGAGGUGCCCCCAUAUCGCACUAGCAUAAGGGCACUGAUAAAAGAGGUGAUCUCGUGCCUCCGGGGAAGCAUUGCAAAGAAGACAGCUUGCGUCAGUUGACAGGCCCCAGCUGAGAAGUCUGUCACGAGUCGGACACCUGUUUAGAACAAAUAACCAAGUCAAAAAGUUAUGCUUGGGAAUCCCUCCACUGGUCCAAACCACUUUACUCCAAGGUACCAGAGCAGUUUCUCCUUUGAGCUUGUGAUAAAUUUGACCCGUGUUAUAGUUGAGAGAUUUUGUGCCAUCGAUAACCCACUCAUAGCUGUCUUCAUCUUACGAGAGUGAGAGUGUUGUUAAGUGAACAUGGAGUUCAAGCAUCUGCUCCGAGCGGGGUGGAGGGAGAAGCCAACAUCCAUUGCGGUACAAGUCAGAUAACAGCACCUUCGAAGGGAUUCCUUGUCUGGAGUUGGAGCCUCUCAUAAUUCUAUUCUCCAAAGAGCCUAGAGGUGACCAAUUGUCAGUCCAAAAGCGGCAGUUCUGUCCAUUCCCAACCCGCAGCAUGAUCUAGGCUGGAAGCUGGGUCGCCCAAAUGGUUGUUGGAGGUUCAAAUCGGAUCAACCAAAGAUGUGACCGGUUGGUCGAUAUGGUCUGAAAUCGAUUGUAAACCUGAAACAAAAGCAAAACCAAUGAGAUGCGGUUUAUG